rnacentral:rRNA from 1 species
GAUGAACGCUAGCGGCAGGCUUAAUACAUGCAAGUCGAGGGGGUAACAGGGGGUAGCAAUACCUGCUGACGACCGGCAAACGGGGUGCGGAACACGUACGCAACUUUCCCAAAACUGGUGAAUAGCCCUCCGAAAGGAGGAUUAAUACACCGUAACAUAAUGAAGUGGCAUCACUUUAUUAUUAUAGCUCCGGCGGUUUUGGAUGGGCGUGCGCCUGAUUAGGUAGUUGGCGGGGUAACGGCCACCAAGCCUGCGAUCAGUAACUGGUGUGAGAGCAC